rnacentral:rRNA from 1 species
AUGGCAGUGAGCCUCCUGGCCAAUGACGUGUCGGACCUCUGCAUCGGCAAGCCGGCCGUGAGGUCGCUCCCGCUCUCCGCGGCCGCCGGCGACCUCGCCGCCACGGUCCGCAAGGGGCCCCGCGCCGCCGCCGCCGCCUGCAUCGCCGUCGGCCCGGCGCGCGGCGCCGUGGUGGGACGCGCCGGCCUCGCCGACGUCCUCUGCCUCCUCUGCUCCUCCCCCGACGCGCUCGCGCGCCCCGCCGCCGCGCUCGACCGGCCCGUCUCCGCGCUCCUGCCCAAGGACGGCGCCGGCGAGGUCCGCCGCGUAGAUCCCCGUUCCAGUGUCUUGGAAGCUCUUGAUGAGAUCUUGAGCGGCGCGCAGGUGCUCGCCGUCCCGCUGCGCUCGGGCGGCCGCAAGAAGCAGCUGGGCGGCGUCGCUGGCGUGACCGGUGACUUCUGCUGGCUCACGCAGGAGGACCUCGUCCGCUACUUCCUCAACUCCAUUUCUCUCUUCUACCAUGUCGCCGCCCGCUCCGUCUCCUCCCUCGGCCUCGUGCGCCCCGACUUCCUGUCGGUGCGGCCCGACGAGGCAGCCUUGUCCGCCGUCCCCCUCAUCCGCCGGGCCAUCGCCGCGGAGAACGCGGUCGCCGUGGUCAGCGCCGACGGCCACCUCGUCGGCGAGAUCUCCACGGCGCACCUCGCUGCCUGCGACGAGACGGCAGCCGCGGCCAUCGCCACGCUCUCGGCGGCCGACCUCAUGGCAUACAUCGACUACUUCGGCUCGCCGCCGGAGCACAUCCUGCGCGCCAUCAAGACCGGGCUCAAGGCCAAGGGCCUUGACGCCAUGCUUGAGCUGAUGGAGGAUGAGACGAUGACGUCGUUCUCCCUCUCUUCCUCGUCGUCAGACGACGACACCGGCCGGCCGCACCUGAGGCGCCCGUCGUCGGGGAGCUUUGGGCGCCGGUCGACCGAGGAGCCCGUGGUGUGCAGCCCCGCGAGCUCGCUGGUGGCCGUCAUGGUGCAGGCCCUCGCCCACCGCGUGAGCUACCUGUGGGUUCUCGACGAGGAGGACGACUGUCGUCUCGCCGGGAUCGUCACGUUCGCCGACAUCCUGAGGGUGUUCCGUGAGCAGCUGCAGUGA